ensembl:misc_RNA Metazoa_SRP Metazoan signal recognition particle RNA
GCUGGGUGUGGUGGCUCACGCCUGUAAUCCUAGCAACUCUGGAGGCUGAGGCAGGAGAAUCGCUUGAACCCAGGAGGCGGAGGUUGCAGUGAGCCGAGAUCGAGCCACUGCACUCCGGCCUGGGUGACAGAGCGAGACUCCAUCUCAA